rnacentral:lncRNA from 1 species
AGACUGAGGUGAGGUACAGUAAUAAGGAGAUGCCCUCCCUCCCUCUGAUUAGAGACCCCAGACCAGGAUGUGAGCUCCAGAGACUUGAAGGAGACUGAGGUGAGGUACAGUAAUAAGGAGAUGCCCUCCCUCCCUCUGAUUAGAGACCCCAGACCAGGAUGUGAGCUCCAGAGACUUGAAGGAGACUGAGGUGAGGUACAGUAAUAAGGAGAUGCCCUCCCUCCCUCCCUCUGAUUAGAGACCCCAGACCAGGAUGUGAGCUCCAGAGACUUGAAGGAGACUGAGGUGAGGUACAGUAAUAAGGAGUAGCCCUCCCUCCCUCUGAUUAGAGACCCCAGACCAGGAUGUGAGCUCCAGAGACUUGAAGGAGACUGAGGUGAGGUACAGUAAUAAGGAGAUGCCCUCCCUCCCUCUGAUUAGAGACCCCAGACCAGGAUGUGAGCUCCAGAGACUUGAAGGAGACUGAGGUGAGGUACAGUAAUAAGGAGAUGCCCUCCCUCCCUCUGAUUAGAGACCCCAGACCAGGAUGUGAGCUCCAGAGACUUGAAGGAGACUGAGGUGAGGUACAGUAAUAAGGAGAUGCCCUCCCUCCCUCUGAUUAGAGACCCCAGACCAGGAUGUGAGCUCCAGAGACUUGAAGGAGACUGAGGUGAGGUACAGUAAUAAGGAGAUGCCCUCCCUCCCUCCCUCUGAUUAGAGACCCCAGACCAGGAUGUGAGCU